UGUGCAGUCCCCAUCUCUGCUCUGGU
rnacentral:piRNA from 1 species